ensembl:snRNA U6 U6 spliceosomal RNA
GUACUCACUUUGGCAGCACAUAUACUAAUAUUAGAACAAUACAGAGGAGAUUAGCUUGGCUGGUUGGCAAGGAUGGCGUACAAAUUUGUUGUGUUCCAUAUUCCC